UCCGAUGUAGUGUAACGGUUAUCAUUCCGCGUUUUCAUCUUCAAGAGGUUCCGCGGCGAUCGGGGUUCGAUUCCCCGCAUCGGAG